rnacentral:rRNA from 1 species
AUUGAACGCUGGCGGCAGGCUUAACACAUGCAAGUCGAGCGGAGAUGAGGUGCUUGCACCUUAUCUUAGCGGCGGACGGGUGAGUAAUGCUUAGGAAUCUGCCUAUUAGUGGGGGACAACAUUCCGAAAGGAAUGCUAAUACCGCAUACGUCAUACGGGAGAAAGCAGGGGAUCUUCGGACCUUGCGCUAAUAGAUGAGCCUAAGUCGGAUUAGCUAGUUGGUGGGUAAAGGCCUACCAAGGCGACGAUCUGUAGCGGGUCUGAGAGGAUGAUCCGCCACACUGGGACUGAGACACGGCCCAGACUCCUACGGGAGGCAGCAGUGGGGAAUAUUGGACAAUGGGGGGAACCCUGAUCCAGCCAUGCCGCGUGUGUGAAGAAGGCCUUAUGGUUGUAAAGCACUUUAAGCGAGGAGGAGGCUACUGAGACUAAUACUCUUGGAUAGUGGACGUUACUCGCAGAAUAAGCACCGGCUAACUCUGUGCCAGCCGCCGCGGUAAUAC